rnacentral:rRNA from 1 species
UACGUAGGGGGCAAGCGGUUGUCCGGAUUUAUUGGGCGUAAAGAGCGUGUAGGCGGCCAAACAGGUCAGCUGUGAAACUCGAGGCUCAACCUCGAGACGUCGGUUGAAACCGUUUGGCUAGAGUCCGGAAGAGGAGAGUGGAAUUCCCGGUGUAGCGGUGAAAUGCGCAGAUAUCGGGAAGAACACCCGUGGCGAAGGCGGCUCACUGGCCCGAUACUGACGCUGAGGCACGAAAGCGUGGGGAGCAAAGCAGG